UUUCAAUGAUGAUAAACCUAGCUCACUUUGAACCGAUGUGAAACUAUACAAACUUACUGAGAAAC
ensembl:snoRNA SNORD29 Small nucleolar RNA SNORD29